UGACUGCUAACUGGACUCCCGAGAAAAUCUAGCUCUCCUCGGAUUUGAGUUUGGGUCACUUUGUUCUUUGUCAGAGUCUUUUACUGGUGACAGAGAGUCUCUGUUAACCUUGUCCCUCCUCUGGAGUCAAGUGACAGCUUAGCCACUGAAGAAAGGAUUCUCCCGAGUAGAAAUGACAGAACAUUUCCAGCUGGCACUAGCUGGAAGGUAGACAUCAUUUUUAGUGGAAGAAAGACCUUCUGGGAAGUCACAUAUGAUCUGAAGUCUUCUUUUUCUCCUAGAAAGGGGAGAGUGUGAACACAGUCCCUCACUACCACAAAUUAUGCAGUCGAGUUUCCUACAUGUGGAGCGCAAAGGGUAAGACUCGCCCUGGGAAAACCACCUUCGUGAUCAUGGUACCAUCCCUGCCAGGAACACCUGCAAAAAGAAAAUUUCACCCCCAAAAAAGGAGUGAGAUGUAAGAAGCUAUGAUGGAGAAAUCCAGCACAAAGCAGUUCUGUAAUUUUCCUGACGACACGGACACUGAAAGACAAAAACUGCUGACCAGUGGAAGCUCCAGCAAGGCAGAUGCAGUCUCAACAGAAAGAAAAACGUCUUAAUGAUGAGAUCUGUGCAAAGCAAAAUGGAGCGUGCUGGAAAUGGUCGGUGUCCCCUUGGUUGAUGUUCAAGUGGAAAUGGAAUGAAGAAAUGUUGCAGUGGAUAUUUUCACUUCAGGACAAAGUUAUUUUUAAAGUUUUUUGUUUUUUGCUUCCCGUCCUAGAGCCUAUGAUACUAUUAAAAAAAAUUAUGUGGGUAUGUCUGUUUGUAACUUUGCCAGCAAGAGUAGCUGUCUCUUAAAUGUCCUGCACAAAAUGCUCACAUUGACUGGAUCUUUCUCUCAACUUCAUUUACAAAGAUCUGUGUUAGAUUAGAAACGGAAUUUGAGCAUGGAAGAGGAACAACAAUGAACUUCAAAGCAUGAAAAGGAGAUGGAGAAAGAGAAGGCCAAAUGCAGAAAAAUGAAAGAAAGGGGAAAGACUCUAAAUUAGUGAUUGGAAAUUUCUUCUGAAUUUCUUAAUUAAAA